AAGGCAUCACUUUGUCCGGACUCUAAUUCAAAUUGUAUUCAUCCGAUCUUCACCAAACUUGGUCAGCAGUUGCAUCUAGUUGAUAUCUAGGCCAAGUUCGAAUAUGGGUCAUGCCGGGUCAAAAACUAGGUCAUAGGGUCAAUAAGUGCAUUUUCAAAGGGGCCACUUUGUCCGGACUCUAUUUCAAAUUGUAUUCAUCCGAUCUUCACCAAACUUGGUCAGCAGUUGCAUCUAGUUGAUAUAUAGGCCAAGUUCGAAUAUGGGUCAUGCCGGGUCAAAAACUAGGUCAUAGGGUCAAUUAGUGCAUUUUCAACGGCGCCACUUUGUCCGGACUCUAAUUCAAAUUGUAUUCAUCCGAUCUUCACCAAACUUGGUCAGUAUUUGCAUCUAGUUGAUAUCUAGGUCAAGUCCGAAUAUGGGUCAUGCUGGGUCAAAAACUAGGUCAAAGGGUCAAUUAGUGCAUUUUACUUUGUCCGGACUCUAAUUCAAAUUGUAUAAAUCUUAUCUUCACCAAACUUGGUCAGUAGUUGCAUCUAGUUGAUAUCUAGGCCAAGUUCGAAUAUGGGUCAUGCCAGGUAAAAAACUAGGUCAUAGGGUCAAUUAGUGCAUUUUCAACAGCGCCACUUUGUCCGGACUCUAAUUCAAAUUGUAUUCAUCCGAAACUUUUAAACAACUUUUUAUCCUGCGUCAAAGUGGUAUGGGGGUCUAAACAAUUAUGAUUUAAAUAUUGUGUUUUAGAGAACAAAUGAGACUAAGUGUACACUUAUUGAUAUCAAUGCAUAUAUAUGAAUAUAUCAGUUAUAUAA